rnacentral:misc_RNA from 1 species
GAUGAAGAAUGUAGCGAAAUGCGAUAAGUGAUGUGAAUUGCAGAAUUCAGUGAAUCAUCGAAUCUUUGAACGCACAUUGCGCCCGCCAGUAUUCUGGCGGGCAUGCCUGUUCGAGCGUCAUUUCAACCAUCAAGCCCUGCUUGCGUUGGGGUCCUGCGGCUGCCCGCAGGCCCUGAAAACCAGUGGCGGGCUCGCUAGUCACACCGAGCGCAGUAAUACAUCUCGCUUUGGGCGUGCGGCGGGUUCUUGCCGUUAAACACCCCCUUUUUACCAAGGUUGACCUCGGAUCAGGUAGGAAUACCCGCUGAACUUAAGCAUAUCAAUAAGCGGAGGA